rnacentral:siRNA from 1 species
UGCUAUUGAUGAUACUAGUAAC